rnacentral:lncRNA from 12 species
AUGCUCAGGAUGCGUCGCUCGCCGGCUCUGCGCUGUGUGUGUGUUUGUGUGCUGCUGAGUGUGUGCUGUCGAGCGUUUGAGCUGCAGGACACCAUCCACGCUCUGAUCGAGGAGAACAUCCACCUUCACGACCAGCUGGAGAACCUGACGAGAGCCCUGCGCGAGCUGCGGCAGCUCCUGUUCCAGCACAGCGGCGAUCACACUCAUGAACACGAUGAGGAACUUCAGCAUCUCUGGGAGGAAUGGUCACAGCACAGCAUCACACCUGAGACUCACCUGCUGUUGGAACAUGCUCUCUGUGGACACGACCUACAUGGCUCCGCCCACUCCAGCUCAGGACACGCCCCCUUUAUAUUGAUCACUUUUAUAGUUCUUGCACACAUUCUUUUAUGA